rnacentral:rRNA from 1 species
GCGACUUGCUGGGCCAUCACUGACGCUGAGGCACGAAAGCGUGGGGAGCAAAUAGGAUUAGAUACCCUAGUAGUCCACGCCGUAAACGUUGAAUACUAAGUGUCGGAGUUUCCGGUGCUGAAGUUAACACAUUAAGUAUUCCACCUGAGUAGUACGGUCGCAAGGUUGAAACUCAAAGGAAUUGACGGGCACCCGCACAAGCGGUGGAGCAUGCUGUUUAAUUCGAAGAUACGCGAAGAACCUUACCUGGGCUUGACAUCCCAAUGAAAGUUUUUGGAAACAUUAACCCUUCCCUUCGGGGAACAUUGGUGACAGGUGGUGCAUGGUUGUCGUCAGCUCGUGUCGUGAGAUGUUCGGUUAAGUCCGAUAACGAGCGCAACCCUUCUCCUUAAUUGCUAACAUUCAGUUGAGAACCUUAAGGAUACUGCCGGUGACAAACCGGAGGAAGGUGGGGAUGACGUCAAAUCAUCAUGCCCCUUACGUCCAGGGACGGGCGGGGUGUACAAUAGCUGGUAUAAGGAGAAGCAAUACCGUGAGGUGGAGCAAAUCUCCAAAACCAGUCUCAGUCCGGAUUGGAGUCUGCAACUAGACUCCAUGAAG